AAAUUUAAAUGGUGAAAACAUUGUCAAAAGAAAAAUGUGUUUUAUCAUUUCAAUAUCUGAUACGUCCCCCACCCGGGGACUAUAUAUUUAAUGGAUUUUUGGAUCACGGAGCUGGAGCCUGGGGCUUGCUCCAUCCACUCCGAGCAUUGGCCUGAAAUUGCAGUGUCUCCGGGAAAGGUGUGGUUCUC
ensembl:snRNA U2 U2 spliceosomal RNA